rnacentral:lncRNA from 1 species
GAAUUUUUAUUGCAGCCAUGGGCAGGCCUGGACAUAUUCUCCUUCCUGCACCGAAUGGUAAGAACUCAAAGUCGUUCCCUUUGAAGUCCAUAUCAGAACGCAGAAACCUCUGUGGUCUAAACAUUUCUGGCUCUUCCCAUAUCAAAGGAUCCCUUGUGAUAGCCCAGACGUUAACCAUGAUUUGAGCGUCUUUAGGAAUUGUGUAACUCAUCACUUGACAGGAUUCAAUAGCACGAUGUGGAAGCAGCAACGGUGCUGGAGGAUGCAACCUAAGUGUUUCCUUCACACAGGCUUGGACGUAGGACAUCUGCAGCAAUUGAGAUUCUUUUAGGUAAUCACUUUUACUGAGUUCUAUCUCGAGCUCCUCUUGAACUUUUUUCAUUGGCUCUACAUUUUUAAUCAGCUCUGCCAUCGCCCACUCGAUUGUUGAGGUAAUGGUGUCUGAACCAGCAGAGAGCAACUCCUUCACAGGGUUAGAAGGAAACUUGUCAUAUAUACUACAUCGCAAUAAAGAACUCCAGCUUUCUUGAAUAUAAGAACUUUAAAUAUAGAAGUGCUAAAGGUUCAAUGCAUCGAUAUCAAUUGUAUAACAGCAUAUAUGAAAAAAAAAGAAAAAAAACUAACAUGAUGACUUUGAUUUUCAUUUUUCAGAUACUACUAAAGACUAACUUGGUUUAUACCGGAAAAUGAAUCUCACAAAACAAAUUUUGAAAGAAGGGAGGGAACAAACCAUAAAUAG